CUGAACUUGAGGAAUGGACGUUCUCAACGUGGAGAACCCUAAACCGCAACCUGCCCCACCCAGUGCUUUCCUGCCUGUCUCUGGACACAUCCCUUUCGGACGCACAUGGAACAUAAAUUCUGAGGGAGCUGAGGACACAUACCUUUGGAUCUCUGUGCCAUCAUACAAGAAGAGUGGUUACCUUGAGGCCACCAUGUUGGGAACACCAUGUGGAGAUAGAGAACAAGGUUUGAGGAGGCCCAGCUGUGGGAGUGUUUGCAGCCCAGAAGACCUGACAGCCAAGUGGCCUUUGAGAUGGUCUCAUCUCCAACCACUGUCUGGCUGUGAUUACAUUACAGACUCUGAGUGAGACACUACUAAGCUGAGCUCAGUCAAACUCCCAGACUGCGAGAGAAUAACAAGCAUGAAGACUGUCUAUACAUGAGCCACUGUGGCAAUUUUUCUGAAGUCUACCUCAAGUUGUCUAGCUUAGGCAUACAACAAAUACUCAAAGACAAUCAUGAUGAACUAGAAUUUAAC